CAUUCACCGGCCGCCUCCCUCCUAUCGGGCGCCGGCGAGCCCUCAAGCCAGGCUACGGUGGCCAGAUCUGACACCGGUGGUGGGAGAGGCCAUCGAGAUAGGGACGGGUCAAGAUGGAUCAGGUUGAGGCCCUCUGGCACCGCCGUGUCGCCUCCUCCUCAAUCGCGUCGUCGUCGUCUCUGGAGGCGGCAGCAUGUGGACGGAGAUGACAUAGAAAAAGGGACAAGAAGCAGACAAGGUACCUCGUCCCCAUGAUCUGUGCGAUGGCGGCAAGGUCUACAAGGGGCAUGGCGCUAAUGGCGGAGGACACCAUGAAGUUUUUUGGCAAAAUGCUUGAGACGAGGAUGUGCCCAAUGUGAAUAUCAACACCUUUGCUGUGAAAUGCCAGGGAGGUCGAGGAUGUUGAGCAGCUGCUGUGGUCAUGAAGUAGAAGGUGUGCGUGCCCAAUGUGCUCUUGUACCGCUCAUGUGUUUUUGUGGUCCUCAAUGACCCCAGCCUCAAACGCUUGAGCAAACAUCCGACUAUGAUGUAAUGAAAGGAGAUGUGGAAGCAGUGCAUUUGUUUUCUGCAGGAUGAAGUCGUUCAAAUAUGUUGGAUUGGCAGUUGGCUGUGAGUGUGGUGAUUUUCUCUGCCUUGAAAUGCAUUCAUCUAGUUGAGCACAUGCCACUCCGCUGCUCCAAGGGAUACAUAUUGGUCACCGGCUACAACUUUUACCACCCUGAGCAAUUCGAUUUGUCUCGACGCCACGCCAUGGAGGUUUGACACUGAUGUCAUGGGUGUAUUUAUAGGCUUGACCAGAGGCAUCAGACACAUCUGUUGGAGUAAAGAUUUUUGCCUGCUUUGUACAUGACUCUUCCAGCAGUUUGCAAAGUAAGGUCAUGCUGAGUCAAUUCGCCAGAUCCAUUUCUAGAGGGCAAUGCCACCUCUACCAUGGGAUGGUGGAGAUGAUUCAAAUAAUAACCGGUGUCGCCUCACUGCUGCCCUCCGCUACUACGCUGAUGCGUUUUUAGCGUUGCUGGGUUUCAAGGUGACCAAAAACUGGGAAAUGACACUGAACUGUUUCGUGACACAUUGUCUGCUUCUUACGGAAAUUUUGCUCCGCAUUUCUUUGGCUGGUAUUAGUCUUAUGUGUGUUGUAUUUCUGCUGGGUAGCAAUCCAAUCUGUACGUGGUGGGCAUAGUACGAGGUGUUGUUCACCAGCAGAAUGGCGAGGCCUUGACUAAUGAUGUUCAAGUGUGACUGAAUCAGGAUACACAUGCAUAUCAAUUCUAUCUUCACUUGGGUAUGACGGUGUACUACUGUGGUAAUGUGAUUUUGGUUAGCUCUGGUUCGAUAUAUGAAAUCAUCUAUUAUUCCUUUUGUUUAA